GGCCUAAGAGUAUACAUGUAGUUAUUGGUUACUGAAGCACCAAAUAAAAAUGAGCGUCCCAGGUUUGAAGAAAGGAUGUUAAGAGUUUUGAUAUAUAUAGCCUUUCAUAAAUCAAUGGUGAAUGCUUUCCUUGGAUGCGCGUGUAAUGAAGUACUGCAGGCUGAUCUUCAACAUAGUCAUAUCUCCCCCUUUCGUUCCGCACCAACCCAAAAUGAAAUAAUAAAAUCCUCCAUACCUAUUGAGAGGAGAAAAUACAGAGAGAAAAAAAAGAUCGACUUCCAAGUAUUGAGGAGAGACUACAAGUUCCAACAAGUAAGGCAUCUACAACUGACUUUGUACUUUAGUCUGGAUGUUUCGAGGUGUAUUCUUCACCAUUCCAGAUCAACGAUGGAGACAC
rnacentral:misc_RNA from 1 species